GUAUGUAGCUCAGUGGUGGAGAGCUUGCCUCACACGUAUGAGGCACUGGGUUCAAUCCCCAGCACCACA
rnacentral:tRNA from 1 species